rnacentral:rRNA from 1 species
GUCUACGGCCAUGCUACACUGAACACGCCCGAUCCUGUCUGAUCUCGGAAGCUAAGCAGGGUCGGGCCUGGUUAGUACUUGUAUAGGAGACCACCUAGGAAGACCAAGUGCUGUAGGCU